AGUUCUGAUUAUUGAAAGGUGCUUGCAUCUUGAUUUAAUUUUGAACGAGUGGCGGACGGGUGAGUAACACGUGGGUAACCUGCCCUUAAGUGGGGGAUAACAUUUGGAAACAGAUGCUAAUACCGCAUAAAUCCAAGAACCGCAUGGUUCUUGGCUGAAAGAUGGCGUAAGCUAUCGCUUUUGGAUGGACCCGCGGCGUAUUAGCUAGUUGGUGAGGUAACGGCUCACCAAGGCAAUGAUACGUAGCCGAACUGAGAGGUUGAUCGGCCACAUUGGGACUGAGACACGGCCCAAACUCCUACGGGAGGCAGCAGUAGGGAAUCUUCCACAAUGGACGCAAGUCUGAUGGAGCAACGCCGCGUGAGUGAAGAAGGCUUUCGGGUCGUAAAACUCUGUUGUUGGAGAAGAAUGGUCGGCAGAGUAACUGUUGUCGGCGUGACGGUAUCCAACCAGAAAGCCACGGCUAACUACGUGCCAGCAGCCGCGGUAAUACGUAGGUGGCAAGCGUUAUCCGGAUUUAUUGGGCGUAAAGCGAGCGCAGGCGGUUUUUUAAGUCUGAUGUGAAAGCCCUCGGCUUAACCGAGGAAGUGCAUCGGAAACUGGGAAACUUGAGUGCAGAAGAGGACAGUGGAACUCCAUGUGUAGCGGUGAAAUGCGUAGAUAUAUGGAAGAACACCAGUGGCGAAAGCGGCUGUCUGGUCUGUAACUGA
rnacentral:rRNA from 1 species